GAAUUUUUGGACAACUCUCACGUCAAGCCUAUUGGGACAACUCACUUUCAAGACUUCAAGUUCACUACAGAAAAAAGUACUUCAGUGCCAGACGCCAAGUCAACAGCAUGCGUCCCGACCUGAGGGUGGUGGGCGUGCUGCUCCUGUGGGCCUGUUUCCUGGCAGGGACGCAAGCUAGCGGACGUAGAACCUGCAGUGCGUGGGGCGACCCGCACUACACAACUUUCGACCGGCGCAGAUACGACUUCCAGGGAGAGUGCAAUUUCACCUUCGC